GCCUACGGCCAUACCACGUUGAACACACCGGUUCUCGUCCGAUCACCGAAGUUAAGCAACGUCGGGCCUGGUUAGUACUUGGAUGGGUGACCGCCUGGGAACACCAGGUGCUGUAGGCA
rnacentral:rRNA from 1 species